rnacentral:piRNA from 1 species
UCAGAUUCUUAAGUUGCAUCA